CCUCUAACCAAACACCCACUUUAUCAAAUUUGUCCAGAUCCUACUACAAUUUCUUUUCUUUUUUUUUUCCAGCAAAAUUCUCCCCGACAUAUUUCCAUUUAUUAUUAUUUUUUUUAUUUUUCCUUUAUUUUCUUCUCCUCUCUUCUUGUAAAAAACCCACAAAAUUCCAAACAGCCUUCAAGAAAACACCAUUACCGGCUGCCACCUACUACCAUUGACCAUCAGCAUCGCCUUCGACCACCAACCAACAUCAAGCCACCGCCCAGCAGCCCCCUAUCACCGGAAACAGCCUUAACAUGUGCUGCCUGCGCGUCUACAGAAAUUCUAUGUGUGCAGCCUAUUUGCGCAUCUCCUCUGCACGCACCACCACCAACACUACAAUCCCUCUAGCCGCCGCCCGACCACUCCUCAUCGACCACCAACCUCCGGCAGCCCUAUAGCAGCUCCGGCAGCCCCAAGAAUAGUUCAUUUUGAUUGAUUUUUAUGCAAUUUUCUUGAGAAACAUAGGUAUUUAAUAUAAAAAUCCACUUUUCUUUUAUGUAUUCUUGAUUUUCUUGCACAAAAGUUUUAGAAUUAUUGUGAUUGAUGAUGGGUAUAUGCAAUUUUGGAUUAAUUCCAUUUUAUCGUAUAUUUUUAGCAAUUGUUGUGUGAUAGUGAUUGACGAUGGUUUAAUUUUUUAGAAUUUUUCUAAAAUUUUUAAUUAU
rnacentral:lncRNA from 1 species